rnacentral:rRNA from 1 species
GAGAAGCUUGCUUCUCUGAUGUUAGCGGCGGACGGGUGAGUAACACGUGGAUAACCUACCUAUAAGACUGGGAUAACUUCGGGAAACCGGAGCUAAUACCGGAUAAUAUUUUGAACCGCAUGGUUCAAAAGUGAAAGACGGUCUUGCUGUCACUUAUAGAUGGAUCCGCGCUGCAUUAGCUAGUUGGUAAGGUAACGGCUUACCAAGGCAACGAUGCAUAGCCGACCUGAGAGGGUGAUCGGCCACACUGGAACUGAGACACGGUCCAGACUCCUACGGGAGGCAGCAGUAGGGAAUCUUCCGCAAUGGGCGAAAGCCUGACGGAGCAACGCCGCGUGAGUGAUGAAGGUCUUCGGAUCGUAAAACUCUGUUAUUAGGGAAGAACAUAUGUGUAAGUAACUGUGCACAUCUUGACGGUACCUAAUCAGAAAGCCACGGCUAACUACGUGCCAGCAGCCGCGGUAAUACGUAGGUGGCAAGCGUUAUCCGGAAUUAUUGGGCGUAAAGCGCGCGUAGGCGGUUUUUUAAGUCUGAUGUGAAAGCCCACGGCUCAACCGUGGAGGGUCAUUGGAAACUGGAAAACUUGAGUGCAGAAGAGGAAAGUGGAAUUCCAUGUGUAGCGGUGAAAUGCGCAGAGAUAUGGAGGAACACCAGUGGCGAAGGCGACUUUCUGGUCUGUAACUGACGCUGAUGUGCGAAAGCGUGGGGAUCAAACAGGAUUAGAUACCCUGGUAGUCCACGCCGUAAACGAUGAGUGCUAAGUGUUAGGGGGUUUCCGCCCCUUAGUGCUGCAGCUAACGCAUUAAGCACUCCGCCUGGGGAGUACGACCGCAAGGUUGAAACUCAAAGGAAUUGACGGGGACCCGCACAAGCGGUGGAGCAUGUGGUUUAAUUCGAAGCAACGCGAAGAACCUUACCAAAUCUUGACAUCCUUUGACAACUCUAGAGAUAGAGCCUUCCCCUUCGGGGGACAAAGUGACAGGUGGUGCAUGGUUGUCGUCAGCUCGUGUCGUGAGAUGUUGGGUUAAGUCCCGCAACGAGCGCAACCCUUAAGCUUAGUUGCCAUCAUUAAGUUGGGCACUCUAAGUUGACUGCCGGUGACAAACCGGAGGAAGGUGGGGAUGACGUCAAAUCAUCAUGCCCCUUAUGAUUUGGGCUACACACGUGCUACAAUGGACA